rnacentral:rRNA from 1 species
GGUGAUCGUGAUUAUUGGGUCUAAAGGGUCCGUAGCCGGUUUGGUCAGUCCUCCGGGAAAUCUGACGGCUUAACCGUUAGGCUUUCGGGGGAUACUGCCAGGCUUGGAACCGGGAGAGGUAAGAGGUACUACAGGGGUAGGAGUGAAAUCUUGUAAUCCCUGUGGGACCACCUGUGGCGAAGGCGUCUUACCAGAACGGGUUCGACGGUGAGGGACGAAAGCUGGGGGCACGAACCGGAUUAGAUACCCGGGUAGUCCCAGCCGUAAACGAUGCUCGCUAGGUGUCAGGCAUGGCGCGACCGKGUCUGGUGCCGCAGGGAAGCCGUGAAGCGAGCCACCUGGGAAGUACGGCCGCAAGGCUGAAACUYAAAGGAAUUGGCGGGGGAGCACAACAACGGGUGGAGCCUGCGGUUUAAUUGGACUCAACGCCGGACAACUCACCGGGGGCGACAGCAAUAUGUAGGCCARGCUGAAGACYUUGCCUGAAUCGCUGAGAGGAGGUGCAUGGCAAGGGCGAAUU